rnacentral:rRNA from 1 species
UUUUACACGACCGUACCGCAAACCGACACUGGUGCGCGAGAUGAGUAUUCUAAGGCGCUUGAGAGAACUCAGGAGAAGGAACUCGGCAAAUUGACACCGUAACUUCGGAAGAAGGUGUGCCUUUAGUAGGUGAACCUGUACAAGGGGAGCCCAAUGAGGUUGCAAAAAAUCGGUGGCUGCGACUGUUUAAUAAAAACACAGCACUCUGCAAACACGAAAGUGGACGUAUAGGGUGUGACGCCUGCCCGGUGCUGGAAGAUUAAAUGAUGGGGUGCAAGCUCUUGAUUGAAGUCCCAGUAAACGGCGGCCGUAACAAUAACGGUCCUAAGGUAGCGAAAUUCCUUGUCGGGUAAGUUCCGACCUGCACGAAUGGCGUAACGAUGGCCACACUGUCUCCUCCUGAGACUCAGCGAAGUUGAAAUGUUUGUGAUGAUGCAAUCUCCCCGCGGAAAGACGGAAAGACCCCAUGAACCUUUACUGUAGCUUUGUAUUGGACUUUGAACAGAUCUGUGUAGGAUAGGUGGGAGGCUUUGAAGUGUGGUCGCUAGAUCGCAUGGAGCCAACGUUGAAAUACCACCCUGGUGUGUUUGAGGUUCUAACCUAGGCCCGUAAUCCGGGUCGGGGACAGUGCAUGGUAGGCAGUUUGACUGGGGCGGUCUCCUCCCAAAGCGUAACGGAGGAGUUCGAAGGUACGCUAGGUACGGUCGGACAUCGUGCUAAUAGUGCAAUGGCAUAAGCGUGCUUAACUGCGAGACUGACAAGUCGAGCAGAUGCGAAAGCAGGACAUAGUGAUCCGGUGGUUCUGUAUGGAAGGGCCAUCGCUCAACGGAUAAAAGGUACUCUGGGGAUAACAGGCUGAUACCGCCCAAGAGUUCAUAUCGACGGCGGUGUUUGGCACCUCGAUGUCGGCUCAUCUCAUCCUGGGGCUGUAGCCGGUCCCAAGGGUAUGGCUGUUCGCCAUUUAAAGAGGUACGUGAGCUGGGUUUAAAACGUCGUGAGACAGUUUGGUCCCUAUCUUCCGUGGGCGCUGCAGAUUUGAGGAAGCCUGCUCCUAGUACGAGAGGACCGGAGUGGACACACCUCUGGUGUAUCGGUUGUCACGCCAGUGGCAUUGCCGAGUAGCUAUGUGUGGAAGAGAUAACCGCUGAAAGCAUCUAAGCGGGAAACUCGUUUCAAGAUGAGAUCUGCCGGGGCCUUGAGCCCCCUAAAGAGUCGUUCAAGACCAGGACGUUGAUAGGUCGGGUGUGGAAGCGCAGUAAUGCGUUAAGCUAACCGAUACUAAUUGCUCGUGCGGCUUGACC